rnacentral:snoRNA from 1 species
GUGCAUAUUUCAUUGUCUGUUUUGAUUUACGUCAAGGAAAAAGAUAUUUAUAUGUGCUAAUGUUCAUGGGUAAAUUAGCAGAUGACUUAUUUUACCAUUGCUUUUAGCCUUCAGGCAAGU